UACGAAGGGUGCAAGCGUUACUCGGAAUUACUGGGCGUAAAGCGUGCGUAGGUGGUGGUUUAAGUCCGUUGUGAAAGCCCUGGGCUCAACCUGGGAAUUGCAGUGGAUACUGGAUCACUAGAGUGUGGUAGAGGGAUGCGGAAUUUCUGGUGUAGCAGUGAAAUGCGUAGAGAUCAGAAGGAACAUCCGUGGCGAAGGCGGCAUCCUGGGCCAACACUGACACUGAGGCACGAAAGCGUGGGGAGCAAACAGGAUUAGAUACCCUUGUAGU
rnacentral:rRNA from 1 species